rnacentral:rRNA from 1 species
UACGUAGGGUGCGAGCGUUGUCCGGAAUUACUGGGCGUAAAGAGCUUGUAGGUGGUUUGUCGCGUUGUUCGUGAAAUCUCACGGCUCAACUGUGAGCGUGCGGGCGAUACGGGCAGACUAGAGUACUGCAGGGGAGACUGGAAUUCCUGGUGUAGCGGUGGAAUGCGCAGAUAUCAGGAGGAACACCGGUGGCGAAGGCGGGUCUCUGGGCAACAACUGACGCUGAGGAGCGAAAGCGUGGGGAGCGAACAGGA